rnacentral:rRNA from 1 species
UACGUAGGGGGCAAGCGUUGUCCGGAUUUAUUGGGCGUAAAGAGCUCGUAGGCGGUUCAGCAAGUCAGGUGUGAAAAAUCUGGGCUCAACCCAGUGCAGCACCUGAUACUGCUGUGACUAGAGUCCGGUAGGGGAGUGUGGAAUUCCUGGUGUAGCGGUGAAAUGCGCAGAUAUCAGGAGGAACACCAACGGCGAAGGCAGCACUCUGGGCCGGAACUGACGCUGAGGAGCGAAAGCGUGGGGAGCGAACAGG